GACGAUUGGACCUAGCUUGGCGCGGAAUCCGUGAAUUGCCCGCAGCCCGAGGGUGCAGCUCCCGGACUGACUGGCUCUGCCCUUCCCCAUGGACGCCUCCUCUAGCCCGUGGAAUCCAACCCCGGCUCCUGUCAGCAGCCCUCCCCUGCUGCUCCCCAUCCCUGCCAUCGUCUUCAUCGCUGUGGGCAUCUAUUUGUUGCUGCUGGGUCUAGUCCUGCUGACUAGGAACUGCCUGCUGGACUGGGCACCUCGCUGCCCCCGCUGCUGCCCACUCUGCGACUGUGCCUGUACGUGCCAGCUCCCCGACUGCCAGAGCCUCAACUGUCUCUGCUUCGAGAUCAAGCUCCGAUGAGGACCCAGGGCCCCUGCCCUCUGGGGAGCGGCCAGCCCCCAGGGCCCAUGUGCCCUCCUCCCUGAAGAGCCUUUCCCCACGCCACUGGAACCACAGAUGGCCUGCCGAGCACCCAGGCCUGGGAACUGGAAGUGGCAGCGCAGGGCCUGGCUCCCUGCAGGGCAGGACUCUUGGCCGGCUGGACGGCAGCUCCUCU
rnacentral:sRNA from 1 species